CCUACGGGGGGCAGCAGUAGGGAAUCUUCCGCAAUGGACGAAAGUCUGACGGAGCAACGCCGCGUGAGCGAAGAAGGUCUUCGGAUCGUAAAGCUCUGGUGUUAGGGAAGAACAAGUACGGGAGGAAAUGACCGUACCUUGACGGUACCUGACGAGGGAGCCACGGCUAACUACGUGCCAGCAGCCGGGGUAAUUCGUAGGUAGCCAGCGUUGUCCGGAAUUAUUGGGCGUAAAGGCGGCGCGGGCGGUCUUUUAAGUCUGAUGUGAAAUCUUGCGGCUCAACCGCAAGCGGUCAUUGGAAACUGGGAGACUUGAGUGCAGAAGAGGAAAGCGGAAUUCCACGUGUAGCGGUGAAAUGCGUAGGGAUGUGGAGGAACACCAGUGGCGAAGGCGGCUUUCUGGUCUGUAACUGACGCUGAGGCGCGAAAGCGUGGGGAGCAAACAGGAUUAGAUACCCCUGUAGUC
rnacentral:rRNA from 1 species